GAAUCCUAUAGUGACAAGAAUGAUGAUGAACUUGGACAUAUAAUUGGCCUAGAUGAGUGGCAUUUGGAUUAGUGUAAUAGAGACACUAUAACAAGAACGAGUGGCAUGUCAAUUUAGUGUAUUGAGACACAUACAACCUCAUGACAUAUUGAGUGGCAUUUGGAUUAGUGUAAUAAAGACACUAUAAUAAGAACGAGUAGCAUGUCAAUUUAGUGUGUCGAGACACAUAUAACAUCAUGACAUAAUGAGUGGCAUCAAAUCUAGUAUAGUGGAACACUAUGGCAUUUGAACCUAGGGAUAGUAGAUUUUUCCAAU
rnacentral:lncRNA from 1 species